GCGGAGGAAAAGAAACCAACAGGGAUUGCCUCAGUAACGGCGAGUGAAGCGGCAACAGCUCAAAUUUGAAAUCUGGCCCUUUCAGGGUCCGAGUUGUAAUUUGUAGAGGAUGUUUCGGGUGUGGCUCCGGUCUAAGUUCCUUGGAACAGGACGUCAUAGAGGGUGAGAAUCCCGUAUGUGACUGGUAGCCUACGCCCAUGUGAAACUCCUUCGACGAGUCGAGUUGUUUGGGAAUGCAGCUCAAAAUGGGUGGUAAAUUUCAUCUAAAGCUAAAUAUUGGCCAGAGACCGAUAGCGCACAAGUAGAGUGAUCGAAAGAUGAAAAGCACUUUGGAAAGAGAGUUAAACAGUACGUGAAAUUGUUGAAAGGGAAGCGCUUGCAACCAGACUUGCAUGUAGCUGAUCAACCGGUGUUCUCACCGGUGCACUCAGUUGCGUUCAGGCCAGCAUCGGUUUCGACGGUUGGAUAAAGGCCCUGGGAAUGUAGCUCCUCUCGGGGAGUGUUAUAGCCCAGGGUGCAAUGCAGCCUGUUGGGACCGAGGACCGCGCUUCGGCUAGGAUGCUGGCGUAAUGGUUGUAAGCGACCCGUCUUGAAACACGGACCAAGGAGUCUAACAUCUAUGCGAGUGUUUGGGUGUCAAACCCAUACGCGUAAUGAAAGUGAACGGAGGUGAGAACCCUUAAGGGUGCAUCAUCGACCGAUCCUGAUGUCUUCGGAUGGAUUUGAGUAAGAGCAUAGCUGUUGGGACCCGAAAGAUGGUGAACUAUGCCUGAAUAGGGUGAAGCCAGAGGAAACUCUGGUGGAGGCUCGCAGCGGUUCUGACGUGCAAAUCGAUCGUCAAAUUUGGGUAUAGGGGCGAAAGACUAAUCGAACCAUUGACCCGUGUGUCACCGGCGGACGGGAGCGCGUCUCCCGCCCGCCGUCGGAUAUUACUAGGUGGUUAAGAGGCGCAGUCAAGCUGCGCCUAGUCCUGUGUAAGGGGCGAAACCUCCAAAUUGCGGGGACACCCUAAAGCCCCGGAACCCCAAGCUGCCCUCGAAAGUCGGCAGUGGCCGCAGCUAAUCACUGCGGGUAUGGGAACAGCGUCCGGGGAUAAAUAGUAUGGGCGAUCCGCAGCCAAGCUCCUCUCGGGCGACCGACUGUGAGAAGGUUCAUCGACUAGACGGUGGUUGGUCAUCUGGGGCACCGCCCCAGACGGCUUAAGGUAUAGUCAGGCCUGCAGGAGACUGCAGCGGGACGACGAAGGACUGGCGUUACACCGCACGACCCGUGCGCGCCAGGUUGAUCUUGCAUCAUUCACCCCGAAUCGCCCCGGCCGACCGCGUCUCUCCGGAGCGCGGGCGGCGGUAAAGUGCUAGUAGCUGGUUCCUGCCGAAGUUUCCCUCAGGAUAGCAGUGUUGAAUUCAGUUUUAUGAGGUAAAGCGAAUGAUUAGAGGCCUUGGGGGUGAAACACCCUUAACCUAUUCUCAAACUUUAAAUAUGUAAGAAGUCCUUGUUACUUAAUUGAACGUGGACAUUCGAAUGUACCAACACUAGUGGGCCAUUUUUGGUAAGCAGAACUGGCGAUGCGGGAUGAACCGAACGUGAAGUUAAGGUGCCGGAAUAUACGCUCAUCAGACACCACAAAAGGUGUUAGUUCAUCUAGACAGCAGGACGGUGGCCAUGGAAGUCGGAAUCCGCUAAGGAGUGUGUAACAACUCACCUGCCGAAUGAACUAGCCCUGAAAAUGGAUGGCGCUUAAGCGUAUUACCCAUACUUCACCGCCAGGGUAGAAACGAUGCCCUGGCGAGUAGGCAGGCGUGGA
rnacentral:rRNA from 1 species